AGUGAACGCUGGCGGUAGGCCUAACACAUGCAAGUCGAACGGCAGCACAGUAAGAGCUUGCUCUUACGGGUGGCGAGUGGCGGACGGGUGAGGAAUACAUCGGAAUCUACUUUUUCGUGGGGGAUAACGUAGGGAAACUUACGCUAAUACCGCAUACGACCUACGGGUGAAAGCAGGGGAUCUUCGGACCUUGCGCGAUUGAAUGAGCCGAUGUCGGAUUAGCUAGUUGGCGGGGUAAAGGCCCACCAAGGCGACGAUCCGUAGCUGGUCUGAGAGGAUGAUCAGCCACACUGGAACCGAGACACGGUCCAGACUCCUACGGGAGGCAGCAGUGGGGAAUAUUGGACAAUGGGCGCAAGCCUGAUCCAGCCAUACCGCGUGGGUGAAGAAGGCCUUCGGGUUGUAAAGCCCUUUUGUUGGGAAAGAAAAGCAGCAGGUUAAUACCCCGCUGUUCUGACGGUACCCAAAGAAUAAGCACCGGCUAACUUCGU
rnacentral:rRNA from 1 species